CUCCGUUCUCCCAGGGGCGCAGCCAUGGCGUGGCCGGGAGCUCCUGCUGCUGGAGCCUUUCCGCGCUGAAGCAGCCACCUCCUGCCCCACAGACUGUCCCUGCCUCAGCUCCCCAGCGCCCUGCCUUGUGCAGAGGAGCAGGACAGGACCUCCCCAGCCCUCUCGCCCGCCGCCUCAGGCAGCCACUCGGGUACCCCAGGAGGUGCCUGCACUUCUCCUACCUUCCCAGGAUGCUAGAAAAUGGAGACGCAUGGACGGUGGGGAAGGAAGAAACUACUUGAAGGCUAACACAUUCAUGGUUGAGGCAGAUCUACCAAGGAGACUGCAAAGGACCUUUUUUGAGGCCCAAAAAAGUGAUGAGAUUGCUGGUAGUGUCUCGGUUAUGAUACGGGUAUUUAAGGUGGAAUUUAUCAGACUGAACGUUGGUGACUGCUACGUAGAUGUCAACAUCUGGGCAAGUCAUGCCAUACUAAUUGCAUAGUCUUUGGAGAGCUUGUCAAUACGUCCGUGGAUGCAAUUUUCAGACCUUCAAGGCCGGAAAGAUGAACUGGCAGCUAAACCUCGCUGGGUACAGAGGGAGCCAAACCAUCUAUCUUGGGUAUAGACACCUAAAUUUAGAUUGGAUAAACAGCACUCCUAGUCUGAAGAGAUUCAAAAGGAGUUGAACCAAACAUGAAUGUAAGGAAAGCAAGUCUUCAUGUGAGUUUGGGGCUUUUCCCUGUAUGAUAUUUAAGUAUAAAUUGUUGAAAUGCCCCAAAACGUCAAAUCUAGACUGUUUCACAAAAUUUUCUACAGGGUUUCAGUGUGUGGCUUUACAAACCUUUUAUUCCAUAAAUAAUAAUGAUUUGUAAUACAGUCUUAAAUGCUCUGUAAAGGAACUUAAAAUCCCUGUAAAUGUUGGCUCCAGAUUCUAUUAGCAGGCAAGGUCCUAUUUGAAUUAUUCUUCUUGGGUAUUUGUUACUUGAGGAAAAUCCCAGUGUAAUGGGCUUCACAGAGUUUGUAGUCAAACUCCAUCGCUUCUCUGUCUCAGCCUUCUAUGUCAUACUAUACAUUGAAUUUAAUCUAGUUAAUUUUGCGUUGAGUCUGAUAACCUAUGUUUGACUAAAGUAUUUCUUAGUAAUGUAUCUAAAAUAAACACAUCACUUUUCAGUCUUCUCUUUCAUUUAUUAAAUAAAGUGAACAUCUUAAAAUGGCUUGUUUUCUGUUUCCCCCUACCCUUUAGACUGUAUUUGUGGACCUUUUUUGUUCCAGCUUUUCAAAACUAACUUAAAAAUCUGAUUAUCAAACUGAACACUUCGUUUUACUUUCAGGUUCACUAUCGCUGUACACACAAAUAUAUCACCAAAAUUAUAGUGCUAUUCCAAGGUCUAUAAACUUUAUCUGAGUAGGUUUGACACCUCCUGAGCCAGUUUCCGUGGCACUCGUGAGUGAAAAUUAUCUAGAAUGGCUGAUUGCAAGAAGGGCAUUCCUAAUGGUUUGCAAAGGCCUUCAUCAUCAC
rnacentral:lncRNA from 1 species